UACGAAGGGGGCUAGCGUUGUUCGGAAUUACUGGGCGUAAAGCGUAUGCAGGCGGAUCGUUAAGUCGGGGGUGAAAUCCCGAGGCUCAACCUCGGAACUGCCUUCGAUACUGGCGAUCUUGAGUCCGGGAGAGGUGAGUGGAACUCCGAGUGUAGAGGUGAAAUGCGUAGAUAUCUGGAGGAACACCGGUGGCGAAGGCGGCAUCCUGGACCGGUAUUGACGCUGAGGCGCGAAAGCCAGGGGAGCAAACGGG
rnacentral:rRNA from 1 species